rnacentral:rRNA from 1 species
AUAUGUUUGAUUCAGGAGAGGAUGACUGGAAGGAAACUUGGGACAGGAACCAGGCAUAGUGGAUUGUGGUAUAUGGAUCGUGAUGUGUCUAGGUCUGGUGCUAGUCCUAUUUUGGCUGUACUAGUUGGAGUAAGUGAGACAAUGGCGAUGAUCCAUCACUGUCGCACGGGGCAUAUGGCUUUUGAUAAGAUGAGUAAGAUGUUUCCGGAUGUAAUGCGUGGAGUAGACAAGAGUAAGCUUAUGUGUGAUGCAUGUGAAUAUGCAAAGCACACAAGAAUCUCAUAUUUGAGUAAGGGGCUAAGGAGUAUAUCCCCGUUUAUGCUAAUUCACUCUGAUGUGUGGACAUGUCCUGUUGUUUCUGUUAGGAAUGAAAUAUUUUGUGACAUUUAUAGACUGCCACACUCGCAUGACUUGGGUGUACCUCAUGCGACAUAA